UUUGAGGGGUGAUGGAAAUGUUUUUUUUUUUUUUUGUAAUUAUAAAAUUAAAAGUCAAAGGCGGAGAACUGCUUCCCAGAGAGCAGUUUCGAAACUAUUUGUAGCCAAGUUUAAUUUGUUAUAUUUUAUUUUUAUUAUAAAAAAAUUUCUUUCUGGGCUCGGACCUAGUUCGCGAUGACAUGGCCAAACGUACCAAGAAAGUCGGGAUCGUCGGUAAAUACGGGACCCGCUAUGGGGCCUCCCUCCGGAAAAUGGUGAAGAAAAUUGAAAUCAGCCAGCACGCCAAGUACACUUGCUCUUUCUGUGGCAAAACCAAGAUGAAGAGACGAGCUGGGGGAUCUGGCACUGUGGUUCCUGCCUGAAGUCAGUGGCCGGCGGUGCCUGGACAUACAAUAUCACUUCCGCUGUCACGGUAAAGUCCGCCAUCAGAAGACUGAAGGAGUUGAAAGACCGGUAGACGCUCCUCUACUCUUUGAGACAUCACUGGCCUAUAAUAAAUGUGUUAAUUUAUGUAAAAAAAAAAAAA